GAAAAUAAAAAGUUUUGGGGAAUAAAAGUUUGAGGGAAAGUAAAUAGGGGGAGUAAAAUUUUGGAGGGAAAAUAUUAAAAAAAAAAUUGGAGGGGGGAGGGUUUGGGGUAGAUGGGAGGUGGGAUGGGAAGAGAAUAAAAGUUUUAGGGGAAAAGUGGGAGGGAGUAAAAAUUUUGGGGGAAAAUAAAAGGUUUUGAGGGUUUUUUAGAGUAAAAUUUUGAAAAAAAAAUGAAUGGAAGAGUAAAAUUUUGGUGGGAAAUGGAUUUUGGGUAGAUUGGGGGGUUGGGAGGGGAGGGGAGUAAAAGUUUUGGG
rnacentral:lncRNA from 1 species